GGGGGGGCAGCCUGUCCAGCAAUGGAUGAUGGCGACCGGCGGGAAGGGUGCUUAACGGGUGAGCAACAUGCCCUAUACAGGGAGAUACACCAGGGAAACUUGGUCUAAUAUUCCCAUAGCAUUCAUUGAAGGCAUUCUUUAAUGAAUUAAAGCCUCGGGUGGUAUAGGAUUGGCUCGCGUGACAUUAGCCAGAUGGUGAGGUAACGGCUCACCAUAGCAAUGAUGUCUAGGGGUUUUGAGAGGAAGGCCCCCCACACUGGGACUGAGACACGGCCCAGACUCCUACGGGAGGCAGCAGUGAGGAAUAUUGGACAAUGGAUGGAAAUCUGAUCCAGCCAUGCCGCGUGCAGGAAGACGGCCUUAUGGGUUGUAAACUGCUUUUAUACGGGAGCAAUAAGGGUUACGAGUAAUCCGAUGAGAGUACUGUAUGAAUAAGGAUCGGCUAACUCCGUGCCAGCAGCCGCGGUAAUACGGAGGAUCCGAGCGUUAUCCGGAAUUAUUGGGUUUAAAGGGUGCGUAGGCGGCCAUUUAAGUCAGCGGUGAAAUUUUGCAGCUUAACUGUAACAGUGCCGUUGAUACUGUUUGGCUAGGAUUUGGUUGUAGUGUGCGGAAUGUGUGGUGUAGCGGUGAAAUGCUUAGAUAUCACACAGAACACCGAUUGCGAAGGCAGCACACUAAGUCAUUAUUGACGCUGAGGCACGAAAGCGUGGGGAUCAAACAGGAUUAGAUACCCUGGUAGUCCACACUGUAAACGAUGAUAACUCGCUGUCGGCGAUACACAGUCGGUGGCCAAGCGAAAGCAUUAA
rnacentral:rRNA from 1 species